UACGUAGGGGGCAAGCGUUGUCCGGAUUUAUUGGGCGUAAAGAGCGUGUAGGCGGCCGCACAGGUCCGUUGUGAAAACUGGAGGCUUAACCUCCAGACGUCGAUGGAAACCGUGCGGCUAGAGUCCGGAAGAGGAGAAUGGAAUUCCUGGUGUAGCGGUGAAAUGCGCAGAUAUGAGGAAGAACACCCGUGGCUAAGGCGGUUCUCUAGUACGGUACUGACGCUGAGACGCGAAAGCGUGGGGAGCGAACAGG
rnacentral:rRNA from 1 species